UGCAGUCGUACGAGAGUUUUUAACUCAAGUGGCGGACGGGUGAGUAACACGUAAGAAUUUGCCUUUAGGAGGGGGACAACAACUGGAAACGGUUGCUAAUACCCCAUAUGCUUUCGAGUGAAACGGAUUAUUCCGCCUAGAGAGAAGCUUGCGGCUGAUUAGCUUGUUGGUGAGGUAAUGGCUCACCAAGGCGACGAUCAGUAUCUGGUUUGAGAGGACGAUCAGACACACUGGAACUGAGACACGGUCCAGACUCCUACGGGAGGCAGCAGUAGGGAAUUUUCCGCAAUGGGCGAAAGCCUGACGGAGCAAUACCGCGUGAGGGAUGAAUGCCUAUGGGUUGUAAACCUCUUUUUUCAGGGAGGAAUAAAUGACGUGUACCUGAAGAAUAAGCAUCGGCUAACUCCGUGCCAGCAGCCGCGGUAAGACGGAGGAUGCAAGUGUUAUCCGGAAUCACUGGGCGUAAAGCGUCUGUAGGUGGUCAAAUAAGUCAACUGUUAAAUCUUGAGGCCCAACCUCAAAACCGCAGUCGAAACUAUUAGACUAGAGUAUAGUAGAGGUAAAGGGAAUUUCCAGUGGAGCGGUGAAAUGCGUAGAGAUUGGAAAGAACACCGAUGGCGAA
rnacentral:rRNA from 1 species